GGGGAGGUGGCUCAGUGGUAGAGCACUUGCCUUACAUGCAUGAGGCCCUGG
rnacentral:tRNA from 1 species